AUAUAGUUCAGUGGUAGAGCAUUUUCCUAAAAUGCAGGAAGCCAUGGGUUCAAUUCCCAGUAU
rnacentral:tRNA from 1 species